rnacentral:rRNA from 1 species
GUGUUCGAUCUUUUCAGCACUUAUGCAUCGGAUUCCAUCAGAACUCCGCAGAUAAGCGUGCUUGGGCGAGAAUGGUACUAAGACGAGCUUCGUUGCAGAACUUC